CCUACGGGUGGCAGCAGUGAGGAAUAUUGGUCAAUGGGCGAGAGCCUGAACCAGCCAAGUCGCGUGAGGGAGUACUGCCCUAUGGGUUGUAAACCUCUUUUGUCGGGGAGCAAAAGCCGGACGUGUCCGGCUGUGAGAGUACCCGAAGACAAAGCAUCGGCUAACUCCGUGCCAGCAGCCGCGGUAAUACGGAGGAUGCGAGCGUUAUCCGGAUUUAUUGGGUUUAAAGGGUGCGCAGGCGGAUUUUUAAGUCAGCGGUAAAAUCGUGGGGUGCAACCCCAUCCAGCCGUUGAAACUGGGGAUCUAGAGUGUGCGAGAGGUAUGCGGAAUGCGUGGUGUAGCGGUGAAAUGCAUAGAUAUCACGCAGAACCCCGAUUGCGAAGGCAGCAUACCGGUGCACAACUGACGCUCAGGCACGAAAGCGUGGGUAUCGAACAGGAGUAGAUACCCGAGUAGUC
rnacentral:rRNA from 1 species